CUUGCUCUGACUUCUCUCUACUUUUCCACCGCUUCUCACCGUUGAAAUUUCAAAUAGGUAGUGUGCUUUCGUUCACGGAGUUGAGAGCUUUCCCUUCAUCCGAUUAGAUUUUCGUUUUGGACGGAUCCUGUUGAACUUGCUUCUGUGCAAGAGUACUGUUUUGGGGUUUCCUCUAAAGAGUGUUGUGCUUGUAACCACUAAGAUGAAAAAGAGGUGUCUGUGGAGCAAGCAUUGGAAGAAGGUGAUGAUGCAGCUUAGUAUGUCUAGGAUCUUGAUUAGUAGUAUUAUUCUGAUGAUAAUUCACAGUGGUCCUUUAUGUUUAAGAGAUCAACUCUGAUUUUAUUUUGA